CAAAGAAUAGUUUAAUAAAAAUAUUAAUUUUGGAGAUUAAAGAUAUUUAAAUAUAAAUUUCUUUGA
rnacentral:tRNA from 6 species